UAUUCCACGCCCUAAACGAUGCGAACUAGGUGUUGGAGAAGGAGACUUCUUUAGUACCGCAGCUAACGCGUGAAGUUCGCCGCCUGGGGAGUACGGUCGCAAGAUUAAAACUCAAAGGAAUUGACGGGGACCCGCACAAGCGGUGGAUGAUGUGGAUUAAUUCGAUGCAACGCGAAAAACCUUACCUACCCUUGACAUGCCUCGAAUCCUGGAGAGAUCUGGGAGUGCUCGAAAGAGAGCGAGGACACAGGUGCUGCGUGGCUGUCGUCAGCUCGUGUCGUGAGAUGUUGGGUUAAGUCCCGCAACGAGCGCAACCCUUGUCAUUAAUUGCCAUCAUUGAGUUGGGCACUUUAAUGAGACUGCCGGUGACAAACCGGAGGAAGGUGGGGAUGACGUCAAGUCCUCAUGGCCCUUAUGGGUAGGGCUUCACACGUCAUACAAUGGUCGGUACAGAGGGUUGCCAAGCCGCGAGGUGGAGCCAAUCCCACAAAGCCGAUCGUAGUCCGGAUCGUAGUCUGCAACUCGACUACGUGAGGUCGGAAUCGCUAGUAAUCGUGGAUCAGCAUGCCACGGUGAAUACGUUCCCGGGUCUUGUACACACCGCCCGUCACACCAUGGGAGUGGGUUUCACCAGGAGUAGGUAGUCUAACCGCAAGGGGGGCGCUUACCACGGUGGGAUUCAUGACUGGGGUGAAGUCGUAACAAGGUAACCGUA
rnacentral:rRNA from 1 species